CAUCAGAUAACUAAAGAAAAUAAGUAUUGGUCUCUUAAACCACUAAUAGUAAAAUUACUUCUAAUG
rnacentral:tRNA from 1 species